rnacentral:rRNA from 1 species
UUGUUKGUAAAUCUCGUGCCAGCCACCGCGGUUAUACGAGAGACCCUAGUUGAUUAUCACGGCGUAAAAAGUGGUUAAGAGACAUUAUAUAUAUAUAUUAAAGUCGAAGGUCUUCCAGGCCGUCAUAAACAUCAUGAAGACAUUAAGACCAAAUACGAAAGUAACUUUAUAUAGCUGACGCCACGAAACCUAAGAAACAAACUAGGAUUAGAUACCCC